rnacentral:rRNA from 1 species
UACGUAGGGAGCGAGCGUUAUCCGGAUUUAUUGGGUGUAAAGGGUGUGUAGACGGGAAAAUAAGUUAGUUGUGAAAUCCCUCGGCUCAACUGAGGAACUGCAACUAAAACUAUUUUUCUUGAGUGCAGGAGAGGAAAGUGGAAUUCCUAGUGUAGCGGUGAAAUGCUUAGAGAUCAUACAGAACACCGAUUGCGAAGGCAGCUUACCAAACUAUAUCUGACGUUGAGGCACGAAAGCGUGGGUAGCAAACAGG